GGUGCUGAUGGCAUUGGGGGUACACCCGUUCCCAUUCCGAACACGGCAGUUAAGCCCAAUUGCGCUGAAGAUACUUGGUCGGUGACGACCUGGAAAAAUAAGAAGGUGC
rnacentral:rRNA from 1 species